UUUCGCAAUGGGCGCAAGCCUGACGAAGCGACGCCGUGUGGAUGAUGACAGCUUUCGGGUUGUAAAGUCCUUUCGCUUGGGAGCAAGAGAAAUUAG
rnacentral:rRNA from 1 species